rnacentral:rRNA from 1 species
GACGGGGUAACCCAAGAGAACCUGGAGACGCCGUCGAGAGAUCCCGGGAGAGUUUUCUUUUCUGUAUAAGCAUUCGAGUUCCAUGGAAUCCUCUAGCAGGGAGAUAUGGUUUGGAAUGCGAAGAGCACCGCAGUUGCCGUGGUGUCGGGAUCUUCUCCUCGGACCUUGAAAAUCCAGGGGAGGGACACGCUUGGACAAUCGGACCAGAUCGUACCCAUAUCCGCAGCAGGUCUCCAAGGUCAAUAGCCUCUAGUCGAUAGAAUAAUGUAGGUAAGGGAAGUCGGCAAA